GAUGAACGCUGGCGGCGUGCCUAAUACAUGCAAGUCGAGCGAACAGACGAGGAGCUUGCUCCUCUGACGUUAGCGGCGGACGGGUGAGUAACACGUGGAUAACCUACCUAUAUGACUGGGAUAACUUCGGGAAACCGGAGCUAAUACCGGAUAAUAUAUUGAACCGCAUGGUUCAAUAGUGAAUGACGGUUUUGCUGUCACUUAUAGAUGGAUCCGCGCCGCAUUAGCUAGUUGGUAAGGUAACGGCUUACCAAGGCAACGAUGCGUAGCCGACCUGAGAGGGUGAUCGGCCACACUGGAACUGAGACACGGUCCAGACUCCUACGGGAGGCAGCAGUAGGGAAUCUUCCGCAAUGGGCGAAAGCUUGACGGAGCAACGCCGCGUGAGUGAUGAAGGUCUUCGGAUCGUAAAGCUCUGUUAUUAGGGAAGAACAAAUGUGUAAGUAACUAUGCACGUCUUGACGGUACCUAAUCAGAAAGCCACGGCUAACUACGUG
rnacentral:rRNA from 1 species